rnacentral:rRNA from 1 species
GAUGAACGCUAGCGGCAGGCCUAAUACAUGCAAGUCGAGGGGUAGAAGAGGCUUGCUUCUUUGAGACCGGCGCACGGGUGCGUAACGCGUAUGCAACCUACCUUCAUCUGGGGGAUAGCCCGGAGAAAUCCGGAUUAAUACCGCAUAAAAUCACAGGAUGGCAUUAUCCAAUGAUCAAACAUUUAUGGGAUGGAGAUGGGCAUGCGUGUCAUUAGCUAGUUGGCGGGGUAACGGCCCACCAAGGCGACGAUGACUAGGGGAUCUGAGAGGAUGGCCCCCAACACUGAGACUGAGUCACGGACCAGACUCCUACGGGAGGAAGCAGUAAGGAAUAUUGUUCAAUGGAGGCAACUCUGAACCAGCCAUGCCGCGUGCAGGAAGACUGCCCUAUGGGUUGUAAACUGCUUUUAUUCGGGAAUAAACCUUAGUACGUGUAAUAAGCUGAAUGUACCGAAGGAAUAAGGAUCGGCUAACUCCGUGCCAGCCGCCGCCGUAA